GGGACACGUGGUAUCCUGUCUGAAUAUGGGGGGACCAUCCUCCAAGGCUAAAUACUCCUGACUGACCGAUAGUGAACCAGUACCGUGAGGGAAAGGCGAAAAGAACCCCGGCGAGGGGAGUGAAAAAGAACCUGAAACCGUGUACGUACAAGCAGUGGGAGCACGCUUAGGCGUGUGACUGCGUACCUUUUGUAUAAUGGGUCAGCGACUUAUAUUCUGUAGCAAGGUUAACCGAAUAGGGGAGCCGAAGGGAAACCGAGUCUUAACUGGGCGUUAAGUUGCAGGGUAUAGACCCGAAACCCGGUGAUCUAGCCAUGGGCAGGUUGAAGGUUGGGUAACACUAACUGGAGGACCGAACCGACUAAUGUUGAAAAAUUAGCGGAUGACUUGUGGCUGGGGGUGAAAGGCCAAUCAAACCGGGAGAUAGCUGGUUCUCCCCGAAAGCUAUUUAGGUAGCGCCUCGUGAAUUCAUCUCCGGGGGUAGAGCACUGUUUCGGCAAGGGGGUCAUCCCGACUUACCAACCCGAUGCAAACUGCGAAUACCGGAGAAUGUUAUCACGGGAGACACACGGCGGGUGCUAACGUCCGUCGUGAAGAGGGAAACAACCCAGACCGCCAGCUAAGGUCCCAAAGUCAUGGUUAAGUGGGAAACGAUGUGGGAAGGCCCAGACAGCCAGGAUGUUGGCUUAGAAGCAGCCAUCAUUUAAAGAAAGCGUAAUAGCUCACUGGUCGAGUCGGCCUGCGCGGAAGAUGUAACGGGGCUAAACCAUGCACCGA
rnacentral:rRNA from 1 species